GAGUUUACCCAUUGGUCAGGCUUAAUUGUCUGUACUGGUGAGAUAAAUCUCUACCUUCUGAGAAACUUUCAUGCCAUUUAUUUGGUGUGAUUGGAAAUCAGGACUAUUACAAAAAAUUAGAGUGUUUAAAGCAGGCUAACGUCUGAAUAUAUUAGCAUGGAAUAAUGAAAUAGGACGGCUUGGUUCUAUUUCGUUAGUUUCUAGGAUCACCGUAAUGAUUAAUAGGGAUAGUUG
rnacentral:rRNA from 1 species